ACGGUACAACGAGCGCAAGACCGCGAGGUUUAGCAAAUCUCUUAAAGCCGUUCUCAGUUCGGAUUGUAGGCUGCAACUCGCCUACAUGAAGUCGGAAUCGCUAGUAAUCGCGGAUCAGCAUGCCGCGGUGAAUACGUUCCCGGGCCUUGUACACACCGCCCGUCACACCAUGAGAGUUUGUAACACCCAAAGCCGGUGGGGUAACCUUUUGGAGCCAGCCGUCUAAGGUGGGACAGAUGAUUGGGGUGAAGUCGUAACAAGGUAAC
rnacentral:rRNA from 1 species